UCGUCAGUGAGGUAUAUCCUUACCUGUUACUCCAGCAAUGGAGUUGCAGAGCAUGAUGAAUGGAGAUAUAUGAGAUAUGAUUAAUAUCUCUGUUUUGUGGAGCCUGAAACACUUCACAAAACCCAUUCUGAU